CCCUACGGGGGGCAGCAGUAGGGAAUUUUCGUCAAUGGGCGCAAGUCUGAACGAGCAAUGCCGCGUGAACGAGGAAGGUCUUCGGAUCGUAAAGUUCUGUUGAAGGGGAAAAAGAGCGGAGAGAGGAAAUGAACUCCGAUUGAUAUUACCCUUCGAGGAAGUCACGGCUAACUACGUGCCAGCAGCCGCGGUAAUACGUAGGUGGCGAGCGUUAUCCGGAAUGAUUGGGCGUAAAGGGUGCGUAGGCGGCCUGCUAAGUCUGGAGUGAAAGGCGGGGGCUCAACCCCCGGACUGCUCUGGAAACU
rnacentral:rRNA from 1 species